UUUGAAAAUUAUUGAAUGUUGGAUUUUGUCGAUUAGAUCGAUUUUCAUUCCAUUCAUAUGUAUUUUUUGUUUAAACUUGAUUGACUCUCCACUUAGUCGAUGGAAUUAUGAUUUGAUUACUGAAUUGUUGUCACCUUUGUAAAUGCCAGCAGUUUUGGGUAGGAUACUUUCCUCCGCAAAAUAUACAUUGAACACCCGUUUGUAUGGGUGAUGGAC
rnacentral:lncRNA from 1 species